rnacentral:rRNA from 1 species
CGGAUGUGAAAAUCUGGGGCUUAACCCCAGACCUGCAUUCGAUACGGGCGAGCUAGAGUGUGGUAGGGGAGACUGGAAUUCCUGGUGUAGCGGUGGAAUGCGCAGAUAUCAGGAGGAACACCAAUGGCGAAGGCAGGUCUCUGGGCCAUUACUGACACUGAGGAGCGAAAGCGUGGGGAGCGAACAGGAUUAGAUACCCUGGUAGUCCACGCCGUAAACGGUGGGCACUAGUUGUGGGAACCUUCCACGGUUUCUGCGACGCAGCUAACGCAUUAAGUGCCCCGCCUGGGGAGUACGAUCGCAAGAUUAAAACUCAAAGGAAUUGACGGGGCCCCGCACAAGCAGCGGAGCAUGCGGCUUAAUUCGACGCAACGCGAAGAACCUUACCAAGGCUUGACAUAUACAGGAAUAUGGCAGAAAUGUCAUAGCCGCAAGGUCUGUAUACAGGUGGUGCAUGGUUGUCGUCAGCUCGUGUCGUGAGAUGUUGGGUUAAGUCCCGCAACGAGCGCAACCCUCGUUCUGUGUUGCCAGCAUUUAGUUGGGGACUCACAGGAGACUGCCGGGGUUAACUCGGAGGAAGGUGGGGAUGACGUCAAAUCAUCAUGCCCCUUAUGUCUUGGGCUGCACGCAUGCUACAAUGGCUGGUACAAACGGCUGCGAUACCGCAAGGUGGAGCGAAUCCGAUAAAGCCAGUCUCAGUUCGGAUUGGGGUCUGCAACUCGACCCCAUGAAGUCGGAGUUGCUAGUAAUCGUAGAUCAGCAACGCUACGGUGAAUACGUUCCCGGGGCUUGUACACACCGCCCGUCACGUCACGAAAGUCGGUAACACCCGAAGUCAGUGGCCCAACCGUAAGGGGGGAGCUGCC